rnacentral:rRNA from 3 species
AGAGUUUGAUCAUGGCUCAGAUUGAACGCUGGCGGCAGGCCUAACACAUGCAAGUCGAACGGUAACAGGAAACAGCUUGCUGUUUCGCUGACGAGUGGCGGACGGGUGAGUAAUGUCUGGGAAACUGCCUGAUGGAGGGGGAUAACUACUGGAAACGGUAGCUAAUACCGCAUAACGUCGCAAGACCAAAGAGGGGGACCUUCGGGCCUCUUGCCAUCGGAUGUGCCCAGAUGGGAUUAGCUUGUUGGUGGGGUAACGGCUCACCAAGGCGACGAUCCCUAGCUGGUCUGAGAGGAUGACCAGCCACACUGGAACUGAGACACGGUCCAGACUCCUACGGGAGGCAGCAGUGGGGAAUAUUGCACAAUGGGCGCAAGCCUGAUGCAGCCAUGCCGCGUGUAUGAAGAAGGCCUUCGGGUUGUAAAGUACUUUCAGCGGGGAGGAAGGGAGUAAAGUUAAUACCUUUACUCAUUGACGUUACCCGCAGAAGAAGCACCGGCUAACUCCGUGCCAGCAGCCGCGGUAAUACGGAGGGUGCAAGCGUUAAUCGGAAUUACUGGGCGUAAAGCGCACGCAGGCGGUUUGUUAAGUCAGAUGUGAAAUCCCCGGGCUCAACCUGGGAACUGCAUCUGAUACUGGCAAGCUUGAGUCUCGUAGAGGGGGGUAGAAUUCCAGGUGUAGCGGUGAAAUGCGUAGAGAUCUGGAGGAAUACCGGUGGCGAAGGCGGCCCCCUGGACGAAGACUGACGCUCAGGUGCGAAAGCGUGGGGAGCAAACAGGAUUAGAUACCCUGGUAGUCCACGCCGUAAACGAUGUCGACUUGGAGGUUGUGCCCUUGAGGCGUGGCUUCCGGAGCUAACGCGUUAAGUCGACCGCCUGGGGAGUACGGCCGCAAGGUUAAAACUCAAAUGAAUUGACGGGGGCCCGCACAAGCGGUGGAGCAUGUGGUUUAAUUCGAUGCAACGCGAAGAACCUUACCUGGUCUUGACAUCCACGGAAGUUUUCAGAGAUGAGAAUGUGCCUUCGGGAACCGUGAGACAGGUGCUGCAUGGCUGUCGUCAGCUCGUGUUGUGAAAUGUUGGGUUAAGUCCCGCAACGAGCGCAACCCUUAUCCUUUGUUGCCAGCGGUCCGGCCGGGAACUCAAAGGAGACUGCCAGUGAUAAACUGGAGGAAGGUGGGGAUGACGUCAAGUCAUCAUGGCCCUUACGACCAGGGCUACACACGUGCUACAAUGGCGCAUACAAAGAGAAGCGACCUCGCGAGAGCAAGCGGACCUCAUAAAGUGCGUCGUAGUCCGGAUUGGAGUCUGCAACUCGACUCCAUGAAGUCGGAAUCGCUAGUAAUCGUGGAUCAGAAUGCCACGGUGAAUACGUUCCCGGGCCUUGUACACACCGCCCGUCACACCAUGGGAGUGGGUUGCAAAAGAAGUAGGUAGCUUAACCUUCGGGAGGGCGCUUACCACUUUGUGAUUCAUGACUGGGGUGAAGUCGUAACAAGGUAACCGUAGGGGAACCUGCGGUUG